CCCCACCAGCGAUCAGUCUUCCAUCUGUCUAUGCAUUCAUCUUCCAUCCAUCAUCCAUCUAUCUGGCAUUCACCAGACAGUAAUUAGCUAUUCACUAUCUCUCAUGCAAAUCACUUGCUCCUCAUCCUUUCACUCUUCAUGCACCUAUUCAUUGAUUUAUUCCCCAGCCAUCCACCCAUCCAUUAUUCCAUUCAUUAUUUUUAUCCAUCCAUCAUUUCUCAUGUAUUCAUCCAGCAUCCAUUCAUUUUCUAUUCCAUUCUUCAUUUCUAUUAGCUACAAACCAAUCAUCAAAACACUAUUAUUCUUUACCUCAUCCUCUUCCAUCUUUUGUUCACUCUUUCAUUAAAUAUCUGUCAUCUGUUAGCCUUGUCUAUCAUCAUCUAUGCAUCUUCCAUCUACAUAACUACCUACAAUUCAUUUAAUCAUUUCAUCUUCCCUCUGUCUCUACCCAUCCAACCAUCCAUUCAAUUAAGAUCAGUUAAGAUUCAUUUUUCUUAUCACCUGUCAGAUAAGAGGAAUACAAACUAACUGAGCUACAAUCUAUCCUGAAGUUGUUCAGAGUCAACUAGAGGAAAAUGUGAAAACAAGGAACACAAGACCAUUCCUCCUCACUCAAUGCAGUCCAGGCAAGCUGAAAGGUCGGAUCCCAGGAUCUAUGACAUUAAACCCUGUCCCAUGUCUCCUGCUGAGUUUUGCCUCCUGCAGUGACCCAGGCCAUGGGUUCUGAGGUAUCCAUAAGACAGUAAUUGCCUUGGAGAAGCAGAACCCAGAACAGAGUGACUGGAGGGAAGGAGACUUAUCGUCAGUUUAUUCCCUUUUGCUUCUUUUGAUGGUGAGUUCUGUGAGUGCAUUAUCUGUGUCAAAGGAGAAAUGACUGAGAGAGCGCAGUGUGAGAAUAAGUGCUGGCACCAGUUCCCGGGAAGCUGCUGACUUCUUCUUGUGACCCAUUUGCUGGUAUCCAGGCAUGCUGAGCUGCAGCAGUAAUCAGCAUAGGGGCUUUCUGGAAGGACCCACAGGAAACAGGUAA
ensembl:lncRNA